GACGAACGCUGGCGGCGUGCUUAACACAUGCAAGUCGAACGAAGUGGCGAACGGGUGAGUAACGCGUAAUCAACCUGCCCUUCAGAGGGGGACAACAGUUGGAAACGACUGCUAAUACCGCAUACUGAAGGAGGGGAUUGCGUCUGAUUAGCUAGUUGGAGGGGUAACGGCCCACCAAGGCGAGGAGCAGUAGCCGGGCGUAGAGGGUUAACGGGCACAUUGGGAACGGGACACGGCCCAGACUCCUUCGGGAGGCAGCAGGGGGGGAUCUUCCGCAAUGGACGAAAGUCUGACGGAGCAACGCCGCGUGAGUGAUGACGGCCUUCGGGUUGUAAAGCUCUGUUAAGCGGGACGCGGUACCGGAAGAGAAAGCCACGGCUAACUACGUGCCAGCCGCCGCGGUAAUAC
rnacentral:rRNA from 1 species